rnacentral:rRNA from 1 species
AGUGAAUGUUGGCGGUAGGCCUAACACAUGCAAGUCGAACGGCAGCACAGUAAGAGCUUGCUCUUACGGGUGGCGAGUGGCGGACGGGUGAGGAAUACAUCGGAAUCUACUUUUUCGUGGGGGAUAACGUAGGGAAACUUACGCUAAUACCGCAUACGACCUACGGGUGAAAGCAGGGGAUCUUCGGACCUUGCGCGAUUGAAUGAGCCGAUGUCGGAUUAGCUAGUUGGCGGGGUAAAGGCCCACCAAGGCGACGAUCCGUAGCUGGUCUGAGAGGAUGAUCAGCCACACUGGAACUGAGACACGGUCCAGACUCCUACGGGAGGCAGCAGUGGGGAAUAUUGGACAAUGGGCGCAAGCCUGAUCCAGCCAUACCGCGUGGGUGAAGAAGGCCUUCGGGUUGUAAAGCCCUUUUGUUGGGAAAGAAAAGCAGCAGGUUAAUACCCCGCUGUUCUGACGGUACCCAAAGAAUAAGCACCGGCUAACUUCGUG